GUUCUCAGCACCCAUGGGUGCUCGGUGGUGGUCCCAUGGUUGGUGUCGUGUCCUCCUCAGCACCCAUGGGUGCUCGGUGGUGGUCCCAUGGGUGGUGUCACGUUGUUCUCAGCACCCAUGGGUGCUCGUGGUGGUCUCAUGAGUUUCUGGGUGGUGCUGUGUCAUCCUUGGCACCCAUGGGUGCUCCGUGGUUGCCUUCCAGAUGGUGUUAUGUCCUCCUCGGCACCCAUGGGUGCUCGGUGGUGGUCCCAUGGGUGGUGUCAUCUUGUUCUUGGCACCCAUGGGUGCUUGGUGGUGGCCUUCUGGGUGGUUUUGAUGUCCUCAGCACCCAUGGGUGCUCAGCGGUGCCUGGAGGCAUUGGCCUGAGGGCUUUGUGGCCAAUGGGUGCUGCUGGUGACCCAUGGGUGCCCCCAUGACCCAUGGGUGCUCUUGGUGGUCAAUGGGUGCUCCCCAUGACCCAUGGGUGCUGCUGGUGGUCCCAUGGGUGCCCCCCCUGCCCAAGGCCUGACCCCGCUGCCUGUGGGCAUCUCCAGGACUUGCGCACCCGAAACACCUCGGGGUGCCCCGCAGCACCUUGGGGUGCCCCAAUAACACCCCCAAGGCGCCCCAUAGCACCCUUGGGUGCCCCAUAGCACCUUUGGGUGCCCUAUAACCACCUCAGGGCGCCCCCUACCACCCCUUAGACCACCCCCUACCACCUUGGGGCACCCCAUAACACCCUCAAGGCACCCUGUAGCACCUUUGGGUGCCCCAUAACACCCCUUAGACCACCCCCUACCACCUCAAGGUGCCCCAGAGCACCCUCAAGACACCCCA
rnacentral:lncRNA from 1 species